AGAAAGAUCAGGUUUUGGCUGCAGAAGGGGGGCCAAGCAGAGAUAGGGCAUUUUUCUGUGACAAACAACCACAACACAGCACAGCGCAAGCGCAGGAAUGAGUGGCAGGGAGGGGGCAUGGACUAUAGGGUGGGAUUAAGAGCCCCAAAGACCCCCAGAGCCCUCCAACCCAUUUCCAGAAAGGUCUGAAAGAACGGACUGCGCAUGAGAACUAAUUUACAUGGAAAGCAAGAAACCCAUCUUUGGGGUGGGGAAACCUGCCUAUAAAUGCCCAGGCAACAUCCUCAGAACCCUGGACAUCUCAUCAACUAGACCAAGACAGCUGCAUUGUCUCUGAAACCAGGAUCAACAUCCCAUCAGCUGGAUCGGUGCUGAGAUCAGGAUCGACAUCCCAUCAGCUGGAUCAGCGCUGGAACCAAGGCUGGAAAGCCUAACAACCUGUUCCUGUUGGCAUGAAUCUCAUGUUGGUAAAGAAGCUGCCACAUUACAACCUGAGACAGCUGUUGAAGCAAGCACAAGACCAAGAAAAGAAGUCUGGUUCUGUUCAUCACAAUGUGAAAGGCAGCCACUGAGUGAUGGAACAAGUGAAGAUAGACAAGGAACACCACUGGUGGGACAUUUUAUUUGAGUCAUUGCCAAUAGCAGCAAGGAUUUUUAACAAAAUGUUGCACCUUUUGCUUGUCUUUUUGAUGUUAGUCAUUCUCUUUUUCAUUUUAGUAGUAGGUUUGCACAUUGUAUAGAAUUAUAGAUUACCCCCAAUGCUUAGAAACAGCUUAUAGAUUGUAUUUGUCCCUCUAUUCUUCUGUCCCUCUCUCUCUUCUUUUCCUAUUUCCAGUUAUCACCAAGUCCAUAUCAAAAUCUGAGCCAUAGGGUGUAGUGUAGAAGCCCCAUAAGUUUGCUGUUCCAGUGUGGAAUGUGCCUUUUGGUUUUUUUUGGUUUUUUUGUUUGUUUUUUUUUUUUUUUUAGAAGGCAGCAGUGAUGGGCCUAAGAGUUUAUGGGUUGAGUUUCCUGGAGUCACUUCCCACCAGAUGGUAUAUUGCCAAGGCUCUCUGACCCUGUCAGGUACACCAGAGUCAGGGAGCAGUUGUGGGGGAUAUAUCAGGUCCCCCGGGACACACAACUGGCACAGGGAGCAGCUGUGGGGUAAGUGGUUGUUAAGCCCAGCACAUGUGCAUUGCAGCAGAUCCAGCACCUUCUCUGCAUCAUGGACAUCCAGAUGAUGUAGUGCACAUGGAGCUUGUUGCUUCCCAGGCCAGUCUGCUAGAUUUCCAGCCACAUUCCACAAUCUCCCUUUCCCAGCAUCAUAUCCCACUGAGGUUUGUUGUAGAUUUCCAGGAAACUGGAGGAAAAAACUUCCCAUCUGGCCUUAGGUGAAGAGGCAUAGCAGUCCAGGGUUGCCUGGAGGAGCAGAUGAAUCUUCUGGAAUACUUUCUUUGGUAAGCUCUGGGUGGGAAGACAUUGAAGCUGAAGUUGUAGUGAAGACCUGGGCUGCACUCCCAACACAUGUGGGACACCUUUGGGCCACUUCAGCACCAGUGCCCCGGGCUCCUGGAGGGUGAAGGGCAGGUGCCACAGCCCCUGCUGCCAGUCUGAUUCCUUUGGAACCACUGGCAGCAGAACACCGGGAUAUUCCUCUUGAGCACCUGUCUUGUGGAAGUGCUACUCUUUCUGCUCUUCCAGGAGAGUUUUCUGGAAUAUUUCCCAGACCCAGAGCUUGGCCACGUGGUCCACAUGAACCCACAGAUGCUUGUUCAUUAAGAUCAGGCAGGUCUUCAUGACUUUCAGCUGCUCCCUCAGCACCCACUACCAGCCUUUGGCCCCACCACGCUCCCACCACCGCUGCUCCUCUACCUACAGCCACCGCUUUUCAUCUGCCGAAACUGUAGACUUGCACCUGCUCUGCUACAGCUCCAUCUAAAAUUCCAACAGCGCAAACUCCAUGGAGCCCACCCAAAUACUGUUGGCUGUUACCCUGGCAUUCCUGCCCUUGCUGCUCCCUCUGGAGCCCCGCCAGGCACUGCUUCAGUUUCCCACUCCUUCUUCUCCAUCUCCAGGUCCCCGAGACACUCAUAGGCCCUCCACAGUAGCCCCUGCAAACCCUUCAUUUGGCUCCACAGGUCCCAAAGGCGUUGUUGGAGGAUGCCAGGAAGAGAAGGACCAGAAUUACAGCAGUCUGAAGACAGGCAUUCAUACAGGUGUUUUUUAAAUUUUAGCAGCUGGCCACUUCAUUUAAUAUUGGACCCAGCAGCCUUGUUCCUCUGUCAGAUAAACUGGUGGUAACUAGUUAUGCUGGAACAACUCCACAUCUGCCCAAAUGCAAAUAUCUUGACUUGUAAAAUGUGCAAAAACUAUAAACACUCUGUGUAAACUAAGUAUAAGGAGGGAGUCUCUGCACCAUAUUGGCAAGAAACUGUUCUAUGAAGAAAACCCAUGCCGUUUUGUACUUUUAGGUACUGCCUGCAAUUUAUUCACCUCCUUGAAGGCAAAUAUUCACUCAUCCAGUUGAACACAUGACUUUUUGAGUACAUAAAAAUUUCUCUGACUAAACACUUUUUCCACAUGAACAUCUUUUCCACCACAGAAAUGUCAAAUAUGCCUUUGUAACUAUAUAGGCUGGACUGUCAUCUGACAAAUGCUCAUUAGUCUUAUAGAAAUAAGCAUCCACUAUGAGGGGAUGUGACUUUAACUAUCCAGCUCCUGUCACAACACAGGAAUUACUACACUUUACCUAUACAUACUGUUGAGAUUUACUGCCUAUCCCCUUUGAGAUGAAUUGUGCAUUAGUGAAAAAAAUCACUGCAGCAAGAUGAUCUGUGUCGACUACUGGAAUGCACCCAGAGCAAUGGACACAGAAACCCAAGUACAGAAAAGAUACAUAACAUAGAAAUGAUCUUGGAAAGAGUGAUGAAAAUUGGAGAGCAUCACUAGUGGGACAUUUGGUUUGGGUGGUCAUCAGCUGCAACAAGAAUUCUAGACACAAUGUUGCACUUUAUUGUAAUUUUUGUGAUUUAUGUUGUAUUAUUCUUACUGUUGAAUAUAGUUCUAUAUGUUAGAGUGUGUAUACUAGCUAGACAUGUACUGCUGUCGCACAGACAUCCUCACCUAUAAUAUUGUUUUAUCAUGUUCAAAGCAAUCUUUAAAAACCCCAUUAUUUAGGUAACCUGGUCAAGAAUUUCCAUCAACUUAAAAUUGGAGCAUGAUACAUUCUUGUUUAUAGGCACAGAGACAAGAGGUGACCAGACUGCCAAUCUGUCAGUUCCCAGGAACUACUGCUGUCUAAUGAGCUCCAGUUUUUUGACCAACAGCCUUGGAAACUGUCAUGGUUUGACUCUGGCACAAUGCCAGUGCCUCCAUGAAAAUACACUUUCUCUAGUGGCUUCUGUGAGAUGUGAUCAGGAACAGAGCAAAGCAGGCUCCAACUUCUGUCCGGCCGUGCUGCCAGUCCAUGAUAUCGAAUUUCAAGGCAGCACAGGCACUGGCUCUCUCUCUCUCCCCCAGAGGGUACGAGAUGGGGGGACCUGAUGCCUCUCAGGGCUCCUCAGGGCUCCUUCCAUCUUGCCAGGCCUUCACCCCGCUCCUCUGCCCAAGGCUCCGGCCUCCCUCACCCGGCCGCAUGGCUUCCCUCCCCAGCCAGCCCCAGCUGGGCAGGGGAGCUCUGACCGGGACCAAGGGAGAGUUCUCCUGGGAGUUCUUGCUUUUAACCCCCUGUGUUCUCAGAGGCAGUCCAUACCUUCAGUGGCCAAACCAGGUGCCAAUAUUCAAAUCCAAGCACUGAUUGGUUUGACCACAACCUCCCAAAAAACUCACUUCCUUCUUAACCUAGGAUAGAAACUUAUUUUUCUUCCUGGGGAAAAAAAAAAAAAAAAAAAAAAAAAAAAAAAAAAGUUACUUUAAGAAAGUAACUGGCCUCAAUUGAGGUCAGGAUGGAAAACUCCUAUGACUAAAGCCCACUCUCUUGUGACAUUAUAAACAGUGGUCUAAAGUGAGACUCUUGGAGUUCUGCUCAGGGGCUGGACCACAGGGUCUAUGAUCAGCACCUCCCUCUGAGUGGGGCCUCUCAGAGCCAGAGAACACUCAAGCUUGCCAAAUUUGGAGGACAAGCUCCAAACAACAAUGAUGAUUUCUGAGCUCAUACCCCACUCCUCAAGGUUCAACCUUGACCUCACUGAAAAGAUGCAAAGGUAUGCAAAGUGACUACUACACUGAAUUCAAAGGGAUUUUUUCACAGGUGUAUCUUGAACAGACUGUGUUUGUGUGCAUGCAAGUGUGAAAAUGCUGGAGCAAAUACACAAGGAAGGUUGUUCCAGCUUAGUAUUUUAGAAUUAAGCCUGUAAGUUUUAUAAAUUCUAUGUUCUAUUCUAUUUCUAUAGUAAAUUAUAUCCAUUGCUAAGUAAUUUAAGUUAGAUUAUCUAUUAAGUGCCAUUAAGUGUUAAAUACUGUUAAGUGUUGUUAAGUUUAGGUUCUGUUAAGUGCUGUUAGGUUUAAGUGCUGUUAAAUUUCAUUUCUGUUAAGUGCUAUUAAGUUUAAGUGAGGUUAGGUUCUGUUAAGUUGAAAUUAUAUUAGGUUUAAGUUUUGUUGAUUUUAAAGUCUGUUAAGUUCUAUUAAGGUUAAGUUCUGUUAAAUUUAAGUGAUGUUAUAUGUUAGUUCUGUUGAUUUCAAGUUCUGUUAAAUUUAAGAUCUGUUAAGGUUAAGCUCUGUUAAAUUUAGGUGAUACAUAUAAAUUCUGUUAAUUUAAAGUUCUGUUAGUUUUAAGUUCUGUUAAGAUUUGGUUUUGUUAAGGUUAGGGUCUGUUAAAUUUAAAUUCUACUAAGAUUAAAUUCUGUUAAGUUUAAUUUCUGUUAAGUUUAAGUGAAGUUAAGUAAAAGUGAUGUUAAGGUUAAGUUCUGUUAAGUUUAAGUAUUUUAAGUUUAGGUGUUUUAAGUUUAAGUGCUAUUAGGUUUAAGUGAUACUAAGGUUAAGUACUGCUGGGUGUUUGGCAUAAACUGUAGGCCUGGUCUGGGCCCAGUUUAACAUGGGGAUAUACUCUGAACCUUGUGACCCAACACAAGGGGAUUGCACAUUUCUUUUUAACCUUACUUCUUCCUAUCCUCUUCUCUUCCCACUCCUUUCCACACCCCCACCCCCAUCCUCGCACAGAUGCCUAAAGAAGCCCCCUGGAACAGAGGCUAGAGAGAGUUGAAGAAUAAAGUGGGUAUUUAUUAAAUGGCCUUCAAGGAUACACCUUAGGCAGUACAUUGGCUUGGCCAAUGCCACACCCAAGAUGGACCCAAGAUGGAUGACCAGUCAUCAGUCUUCACACUUUUAUAAGUUUUGGUCCAUUUACAGAUUAGGAUUAACUGUCCAAUUACAGCUUCAGGUUAUGAAGUCCCAUCCUCCUGGUUUGCUGUCUUCAAUUUUCCUUCUUUUGGCCCUGAAGCUGCAAGAAUGUCCUUGAUUCUCAGGCUGGAAAUAAAUUGUUUUGUCUAACUACACUGUGAAGAGAGCUUGUUAACACUUUAUAUGAAGUUCAGAGCUAUAUACUAAAGCAAUACAGAAUCUGGAAAAUAUGAAAGUUAAAACUUAAGGCAUUACCACCUCCCCUCUUACCCACCCUCCCCUGCCGCUUACUAGCCUUCACAUAGGUAGUUUAAAAUUGGCUUGAGGUUUUUUUUUUGCUUUCUCCCUAUGCUUUAACCAUCUAGUAAGUAGAGCGAAUCUUGCCGACAUGCUUUGUCAUGCUUUCACUUCUAUAAUAAAUCUGCUUUAGCAAAUA